rnacentral:rRNA from 1 species
GACGAACGCUGGCGGCGUGCUUAACACAUGCAAGUCGAACGGAAAGGCCCUGCUUUUGUGGGGUGCUCGAGUGGCGAACGGGUGAGUAACACGUGAGUAACCUGCCCUUGACUUUGGGAUAACUUCAGGAAACUGGGGCUAAUACCGGAUAGGAGCUCCUGCUGCAUGGUGGGGGUUGGAACGUUUCGGCGGUUGGGGAUGGACUCGCGGCUUAUCAGCUUGUUGGUGGGGUAGUGGCUUACCAAGGCUUUGACGGGUAGCCGGCCUGAGAGGGUGACCGGCCACAUUGGGACUGAGAUACGGCCCAGACUCCUACGGGAGGCAGAAGUGGGGAAUAUUGCACAAUGGGCGGAAGCCUGAUGCAGCAACGCCGCGUGCGGGAUGACGGCCUUCGGGUUGUAAACCGCUUUCGCCUGUGACGAAGCGUGAGUGACGGUAAUGGGUAAAGAAGCACCGGCUAACUACGUG